rnacentral:rRNA from 1 species
UACGUAGGGGGCAAGCGUUGUCCGGAAUUAUUGGGCGUAAAGAGCGCGUAGGUGGCCUGUCGCGUCGGCUGUGAAAACUCGGGGCUCAACUCCGAGCUUGCAGUCGAUACGGGCAGGCUAGAGUUCGGCAGGGGAGACUGGAAUUCCUGGUGUAGCGGUGAAAUGCGCAGGUAUCAGGAGGAACACCGGUGGCGAAGGCGGGUCUCUGGGCCGAUACUGACACUGAGGCGCGAAAGCGUGGGGAGCGAACAGG